rnacentral:rRNA from 1 species
AACGAACGCUGGCGGCAUGCCUAACACAUGCAAGUCGAACGAUGCCUUCGGGCAUAGUGGCGCACGGGUGAGUAACGCGUGGGAACCUGCCCUGUGGUACGGAAUAACUCCGGGAAACUGGAGCUAAUACCGUAUGUGUUCCCUGGGACAAAGAUUUAUCGCCACGGGAUGGGCCCGCGUAGGAUUAGCUUGUUGGUGGGGUAACGGCCUACCAAGGCUACGAUCCUUAGCUGGUCUGAGAGGAUGAUCAGCCACACUGGGACUGAGACACGGCCCAGACUCCUACGGGAGGCAGCAGUGGGGAAUAUUGGACAAUGGGCGCAAGCCUGAUCCAGCAAUGCCGGGUAAGUGAUGAAGGCCUUCGGGUUGUAAAGCUCUUUCGCACGCGACGAUGAUGACGGUAGCGUGAGAAGAAGCCCCGGCUAACUUCGUG